rnacentral:misc_RNA from 1 species
UUUCCGUAGGUGAACCUGCGGAAGGAUCAUUACUGAGUUGCCAUGGGGUUCGAUCCUUCCAGCCCGUUUUUGUAUGCAUGUGCUUGCCCUACCCCUCAUCUUCUUCCCCACCCCUGUGCACCUUUUUGCGGGCCCCCUGAGUUUUUUUUUGCUCUUGGGUGCUUUUCUCACAUUCCCUUCUUUCAUUAUCCGCUCUUACCACUGUUGAUCUUUCUCUGUUCCGCUCGGCCACUAAUCUAAUACAACUUUUAACCACGGAUCUCUUGGCUCUCGCAUCCA